rnacentral:rRNA from 1 species
GACGAACGCUGGCGGCGUGCUUAACACAUGCAAGUCGAACGGAAAGGCCCUGCUUUUGUGGGGUGCUCGAGUGGCGAACGGGUGAGUAACACGUGAGUAACCUGCCCUUGACUUUGGGAUAACUUCAGGAAACUGGGGCUAAUACCGGAUAGGAGCUCCUGCUGCAUGGUGGGGGUUGGAAAGUUUCGGCGGUUGGGGAUGGACUCGCGGCUUAUCAGCUUGUUGGUGGGGUAGUGGCUUACCAAGGCUUUGACGGGUAGCCGGCCUGAGAGGGUGACCGGCCACAUGGGGACUGAGAUACGGCCCAGACUCCUACGGGAGGCAGCAGUGGGGAAUAUUGCACAAUGGGCGGAAGCCGGAUGCAGCAACGCCGGGGGCGGGAUGACGGCCUUGGGGUUGUAAACCGCUUUGGCCUGUGACGAAGCGUGAGUGACGGUAAUGGGUAAAGAAGCACCGGCUAACUACGUG